GUGUUUGGCACCUCGAUGUCGGCUCAUCACAUCCUGGGGCUGAAGUAGGUCCCAAGGGUAUGGCUGUUCGCCAUUUAAAGUGGUACGCGAGCUGGGUUUUAGAACGUCGUGAGACAGUUCGGUCCCUAUCUGCCGUGGGCGCUGGAGAAUUGAGGGGGGCUGCUCCUAGUACGGAGAGGACCGGAGUGGACGCAUCACUGGUGUUCGGGUUGUCAUGCCAAUGGCACUGCCCGGUAGCUAAAUGCGGAAGAGAUAAGUGCUGAAAGCAUCUA
rnacentral:rRNA from 1 species